AGAGUUUGAUCCUGGCUCAGGAUGAACGCUGGCGGCGUGCUUAACACAUGCAAGUCGAACGAACCUUCGGGUUAGUGGCGGACGGGUGAGUAACGCGUGAGAAUCUGCCCUCAGGAGGGGGAUAACGGUUGGAAACGACCGCUAAUACCCCAUAUGCCGCGAGGUGAAAUGAAUUUCGCCUGAGGAUGAGCUCGCGUCUGAUUAGCUAGUUGGUGGGGUAAGAGCCUACCAAGGCAUCGAUCAGUAGCUGGUCUGAGAGGAUGAUCAGCCACACUGGGACUGAGACACGGCCCAGACUCCUACGGGAGGCAGCAGUGGGGAAUUUUCCGCAAUGGGCGCAAGCCUGACGGAGCAACGCCGCGUGAGGGAUGAAGGCCUCUGGGCUGUAAACCUCUUUUAUCAAGGAAGAAGAUCUGACGGUACUUGAUGAAUAAGCCACGGCUAAUUCCGUGCCAGCAGCCGCGGUAAUACGGGAGUGGCAAGCGUUAUCCGGAAUUAUUGGGCGUAAAGCGUCCGCAGGCGGUCUUGUAAGUCURUCGUUAAAGCGKGGAGCUUAACUCCAUUUCAGCGAUGGAAWCUGUAAGACUAGAGUGUGGUAGGGGCAGGAGGGAAUUCCCGGUGAGCGGUGAAAUGCGUAGAUAUCGGGAAGAACACCAGUGGCGAAGGCGCUCUGCUGGGCCAUAMCUGACGCUCAUGGACGAAARCCCAGGGGAGCGAAAGGGAUUAGAUACCCCCUGUAGUCCUGGCCGUAAACGAUGAACACUAGGUGUCGGGGGAAUCGACCCCCUCGGUGUCGUAGCCAACGCGUUAAGUGUUCCGCCUGGGGAGUACGCACGCAAGUGUGAAACUCAAAGGAAUUGACGGGGGCCCGCACAAGCGGUGGAGUAUGUGGUUUAAUUCGAUGCAACGCGAAGAACCUUACCAGGGUUUGACAUCCUGCGAAUCUCUUGGAAACGAGAGAGUGCCUUCGGGAACGCAGUGACAGGUGGUGCAUGGCUGUCGUCAGCUCGUGUCGUGAGAUGUUGGGUUAAGUCCCGCAACGAGCGCAACCCACGUCGUUAGUUGCCAGCAUUCAGUUGGGCACUCUAGCGAGACCGCCGGUGAUAAACCGGAGGAAGGUGUGGAUGACGUCAAGUCAUCAUGCCCCUUACAUCCUGGGCUACACACGUACUACAAUGCUACGGACAAAGGGCAGCAAACUCGCGAGAGCUAGCAAAUCCCAUAAACCGUGGCUCAGUUCAGAUUGAGGUCUGAAACUCGACCUCAUGAAGUUGGAAUCGCUAGUAAACGCCGAUCAGCUAUGCGGCGUUGAAUAUGUUCCUGGAUCUUGUACUCACCGCCCGUCAAGUCAUGAAAGGCAGGGGCGCCCGAAGUCGUGUUAUCCCGUUCGCGGGAGCAUGCCUAAGGCGAAACUGCUGAUUGGGACUAAGUCGUAACAAGGUAACC
rnacentral:rRNA from 1 species